GACGAACGCUGGCGGCGUGCUUUACACAUGCAAGUCGAACGAGAACCUUCCUUCGGGAAGCAGAGAGUGGCGAACGGGUGAGUAACACGUGGGCAACCUGCCCCUCACACUGGGAUAACCUCGGGAAACCGGGGCUAAUACCGGAUACUCACGUCCUCGGGCAUCCGAGGACGUGGAAAGGAUUCUGGUGAGGGAUGGGCCCGCGGCCUAUCAGCUCGUUGGUGGGGUAAUGGCCUACCAAGGCGACGACGGGUAGCCGGCCUGAGAGGGCGACCGGCCACACUGGGACUGAGACACGGCCCAGACUCCUACGGGAGGCUGCAGUGGGGAACAUUGCGCAAUGGACGAAAGUCUGACGCAGCAACGCCGCGUGAGGGAUGAAGUACAUCGAGAUGUAAACCUCUUUCAGCAGGGACGAAGCGAAAGUGACGGUACCUGCAGAAGAAGCGCCGGCUAACUACGUG
rnacentral:rRNA from 1 species